AUUGAACGCUGGCGGAAUGCUUUACACAUGCAAGUCGAACGGCAGCACGGGGCAACCUGGUGGCGAGUGGCGAACGGGUGAGUAGUGCAUCGGAACAUGUCCAUGUCGUGGGGGAUAGCCCGGCGAAAGCCGGAUUAAUACCGCAUACGCUCGAGAGAGGAAAGCCGGGGACCGCAAGGCCUGGCGCGAUUGGGUUGGCCGAUGUCCGAUUAGCUAGUUGGUGAGGUAAAGGCUUACCAAGGCGAUGAUCGGUAGCUGGUCUGAGAGGAUGAUCAGCCACACUGGGACUGAGACACGGCCCAGACUCCUACGGGAGGCAGCAGUGGGGAAUUUUGGACAAUGGGGGCAACCCCGAUCCAGCCAUUCCGCGUGAGUGAAGAA
rnacentral:rRNA from 1 species